CAGGUCUUCACCUCUCUUUGAUUUUAGAAAGAAUGGAAAGAGUAUGUUGUUAACAUUUCAGGACCUUUUCUGUGCAGCUCAAGAAACCUGGAGGGUCAUCUUGGCAUGUCGAAAUUGACCACCACACAUCGAAGGGACAUUGGUAGCAGUGCCUCAACUUCUGGAGGCAGCCCAAGCCUCUGCCUUUGUGCCUUCGCACAAAGUACGAAUGGUGAAAAUACAUCUCAAUUUUGACUGAGAAUGAAGAAGUCCGACCGCUCUACUAAGUAGCAUCACAUGAGAUACCUCUAUCUCUCAGAACUUUUCCAAUGCUCAUCACGUUUUUAAGCACUGAUCAGUGAAAAAAACUGAAGUCCAUUUUUUCUAGAACCUGAUCACCACCUGUCUGAAUGAAGAAACAGAGGGCUGUGUAAAAGUAAUGCCUUUGGCAACACAUACAUCGCUAAGAUCAUCUCACAUCUUCAUCUUAUCAUGUAAAGGUUUUUUCAAGCUUUGAGAACAGUGAAAACCUCAUUACGAGCUGAAAACUGAUUCGGAUUUCAAUGUUGACAAUGAAAAUAUUGUUUAUGGAAUUGCUGAAUACUCAGAUAAUGUCUAUAAAGCAACAGCCUACUCGACCAACUGUAGGCCAAGGGUAAAGGAGUAAUAUAAUUACGUCAUUCUUCACUUAUUACGGCCUUUUCCCUCUAUGUGCAUACCGAGAGAGAAGGAAAGAACUGUGAGAUGUGGUUGCUUCUGUCAUCUCCCCACUUGAUUUCAGAACACAUGUGGGUUUCCUUUUUCUCAUGUAUCAUUUGGUGGUAUUCAAAAGAUAUAAGAGGCAGUGCAGAAGAUGUGAUCGAAGGAGUAUUCCUAGUCAGCCUUUACGUUCUUGUAAUGAAAGAUGUGAAGAACCACCAGAGAAUGAAGGAAAAGCUUCCUUGGACAUUAAUAGGUUGACUGCUAUGUCGCUGAACUUGGUGCAUGAAAGGUCAGCCUUUGAAACGCUAAAUAAGUUGAAGAAGAUGUAUGAAGUAUAUACGGAAAAGUAUGCAUCCUACAGUAGCAUUUGUAUUAAAGGACCGCUUUGUGGGAGGAUUAACUCUGAUGGAGGACAGAGCAACCAGCCACCAGUAUCCUUCAUGGCAGAGUCAGGCCUCCUGUGUCCCUGGGAAAUGCCACCUGAAAUAUCCCCCUGCACACCAGCCUUUAAAAGGGAAUUUUGCAGUGUCACAGUAGCUGAGAGCAGAUCUCUCCCUACUUUGGUAGCCGUAACAGACUCAGGAGUUUAUGCUCCUGAGCACUCUCCUGCAGAAUGAGCUAUGUGCUUCCUGGAGCUAUGAAGAGUCCAGAGAAGACAUAAGGUAACUACAGAGCGGCUUCCUCAGGAGUGGUUUGUGUCUCUAUUGAAGUACUUCAGGAUGACAGAAGAGACUUUCAAUCGUACCAGCUGCAAUAACUGACGUCUUCACUUCUAAGAGGCCCGCUCAGUUCAUCAUACCCAGUCAGCAUUGGGAUGAAGGAGGACGGCACUGUCAUGAUGAGAACACUGUGAAGGAGGAUGGCACUGUCAUGAUGAGAACACUGUGUCCUUAGAAGAUGAAGCCUUCAACACUGAACCUUAAAACCAAGCCAUCCAGCUCCUGCCAGGUCCUUGUGGUUGCCUGUGGCUCCAUGGAACUGCCACAUCAAGUAAUGAACCUCAAGGUGAACCAAACCAGGAUACCACACACAUCACACCAGCCCUCCUUUGGGAAAUGCAGACCUGUCCCAGGAGUUUCAGGCAUCCUGUGUUCAUCCUGCAUCGCCUCGUUGAAGAAGUAAAACUACCUGCUGCUGAGAACUCUGAAAAGGAGCUGCAAACGUCGAGGUUCAGAGGAACCAGGAAUCCUGGCCUGCCAUCUGUACAGCCCGCUGACCUCCAGGUGGAUGUGUGAAGCAAGGAGCUGUGCCCUGGAAGCCCCAGAUGAGUGUGUGGGUCAUGUGCUGCAAGCUCCCAGGUAACCCUGCACAGCUCACAAGCACAGGCUGUGAGCCCUGUGGCACUGAGUGUCCAUUCUUGCCAGUACAGGUAACAAACUGGUCUCUGUCAGUGCUGAAAUACCGCUUCAGAUGCUUAACGUGUUCUGAACUGUUUGUUUUUCAAGGUUGCAGGGGUCCGUUUCCGUGCUGUCUGCCGAUGGUGCUGCCUGAAGGAAAACCAUGGAAACGGAGUUUGACAGGCUCACAGGGACCCACGGCUGCCAGAGCCGCUGCCUUUGAGCGCCUGAUGAAGACAUCACAGAGCAAACACAACAUUAAAACGCUGCUGGCUGCUUUGCAUCACUUAGAAUGCAAAUCUCUUUGUUCUGCUCGGCCCUUGCGUUUUGUAGCCGAGGAAUCUGUGCUAUCAUCUAACAUGGAUUUGCUGACCUUUCUUCCCUCGCUGUCCGUUCUCCUAAAAAAAAAAAAAAUAUUUAAAAAAUAUUGUAAAAGAUCAGCUUUUGUGGGAAGGAGGGUGGCGUGGGUCUGUGCAUUUGAAAUGGCCCCAGUUUUUUUCAGUUCCUGGGAUUUCUGUGCACAAAUUAAACACCCAUAUUGCAGAGCAGGCUGGGUUGGGUUGCUUUGUUGCUCCCUGUGUAUUAUUUGACUUGGAUUCAUUUACAUGGCAACUCACAGGGGUAGAUUUUAUGUCAUCUUUAUGCCACAGAUUAAAAGGUAAAAGUAAUCCUUUAUUUGCACAGCACAUCCCCUCCAACCCUUUAAGCCGUACAGAUGAAAAUAGAGGAGAAAAAUGCAAACUCUCCCACCACCAUAAUGCCUACUUUAUAACUUUUUAUGCUAAAUUUAAGUGUGUGGUUAUUAUUCCGCCCUCCAUUUGUAGGUGGCCUGUACUUUUAACUGCAGUUUCUGAUUGCAGUCACUGUCAGACCUUUGAAAUGCCCCACACCUUUGUGCUCAGAUGUGGGAUUUGGGUGGCUCCUGACAGGCUGAGCUAUGCAUGGGGCCAUCAGGAAGGCUUUUUUGCUGAUUGGAGGAACCAUUGUGAGCAUCUGCAGUAGGAAAUAGCUGCUGGGGAGAGGCAAACAAACUGGCUAUUCUCUCAGAAGUGAUAAUUUAUCAUUUCAUUCUCCCUAUGCUGCAUAACUCACACAUUACUUACGCUGAGAGAGGGCUAUCAUCACUAAACUGGAAAC
ensembl:lncRNA